AUUUAAAUAGCUUAUUUAGAGCAUGAUAUUGAAGUUAUCAGGGAAAUGGAAUCAUUUUUAAAUA
rnacentral:tRNA from 1 species